GAACCGAAUUAGCGGGAGCUGUUAAUAAAAUAGGCGCCAAAAUCACGUCCGCCGUCUGGCCUUCUCGCGCCAAAAAUUGCUGCGCCGCGUAUCAAGGUGAGGACUGAGGUGCUCGUCGCACGAAUCGGCACAACCAAGAUGCGUUCUCCUUGAGUUGCCACCGCCGCGAUCGUGCCAAGCUGCUGCCACCACCGCCGCCGCAUCGAAUCCAACGGAGCUGCCGCCGUGGCUUUGCUUGUCGAGCAGCCGCCACCGCGUCGCCCGUCGAGCAGCCGCCGCCGCCGCCGAAUCCAACAAAGUUGCAAUCGCAGCGUCGCCGUCAGCUUCCGCCGCUGUGUCACAUCCAACAAAGCUGGCUCCAAACUGCGCGUACACGUUGCGAUCUAAGGCGAGGAGUCACGUUCGAUCGCCAUAGAACUUUGGUUUUUAUUGCCACUUAGUCAAUUGGUGGAGCCAUCCCACAUCUGUUUUCCAAUGGAAAGCACAAACGAGGGAGAUCACCAGGAUAAUGGCAGUCUGAAUACAUCGAGUGCCAUACCAAGUUGGGUACCACAGAUGGGCAUGAAAUUCGGCACUGUCGAUGAAGCAUGGACAUUCUGGGUUACUUAUGGGGGCAAAGUUGGAUUUGGUACUAGAAAGCGAUACCUCAACCCAAGUAAGUUUGAUCGGACAAUCACGUCGUGCAGAUUUGUUUGUCGCAAGGAAGGCCAUCGAGGAAAAGACAAAAGAGAUAAGCAUAUUAAGGAACCUCGAGCUGAGAUUCGAACCGGUUGUCUAGCUCGCAUGGGUCUCACAAUAAACAGAGAAGCGGGAAAUUAUGAAGUAACCGAUCUUGUUCUAGAGCACAACCACAUUAUGCAGUUGCAAGAAACAUGCCACUUUCUGCCAUCACAGCGAAAGAUAUCUGAAAUUCAAGCUUUUGAGAUUGAAAUUGCAGAUGAUUCAGGUAUUGGGCCAAAAGCUGCGUAUGAGUGUGCUAGUCGUCGAGUUGGUGGACCAUCUGUUCUUGGCUAUAUACGUAGGGAUCACAAAAAUCACCUACGUACUAAGCGCCAAAGGGAACUAAUGUAUGGUGAAGCUGGGAGUAUGUUAAAAUACUUUCAGGAUAAAGUCGCCCAAAACCCAUCGUUCCAAUAUGCCAUACAGCUGGACAAUGAAGAACAGAUCACAAAUAUAUUUUGGGCUGAUGCAAAAAUGUUAAUUGAUUAUGCUCAUUUUGGUGAUGUGGUUACUUUUGACACAACAUUUGGAACCAACAAGGAACUUAGGCCAUUUGGUGUAUUCGUUGGGUUCAAUCAAUUCAGACAAACUGUUAUAUUUGGUGCUUGCCUUUUAUAUAGUGAAACAUAUGAGGCUUUCAAAUGGCUAUUUGAAACUUUUCUCUUUGCACAUAAUCAGAAGCAUCCAAGAACUAUAUAUACAGAUCAAGAUGUUGCAAUGGGAAAUGCGGUUGAGGAUGUAUUUUUAAUGGCACGGCAUGGUUUAUGCACGUUUCACAUAAUGCAGAAUGCCAUCAAACAUUUAUCUUGUCAUAAGAAGGAGGAGGAGGAGGCGGAGGAGGAGGUUGAAGGGGAGGGGGAGGAGGAGGAGGAGGAGGAUGAACCACAUAUUCUUGCAGACUUCAGUGCUUGCAUGUAUGAGUACCGAGACAAGGAAACAUUUGAGGAAGCUUUUGACACCAUGCGAGGUAAAAUAGAAAAACAAACUUGGCUUGAUAGC
rnacentral:rRNA from 1 species